GACAGAGGUCCCAAGCGUUAGGCGGAAUCACUGGGCUUAAAGCGUGUGUAGGCGGAUGCCUAAGUACCUUGUGAAAUCCCACGGCUCACCCGUGGAACUGCUUGGUAUACUGGGUGUCUUGAGCCACUUAGGGGCUACCGGAACAAAUGGUGGAGCGGUGAAAUGCGUAGAUAUCAUUUGGAACGCCAACGGUGAAAACAGGUAGCUGGGAGUGUGCUGACGCUGAGACACGAAGGCCAGGGGAGCAAACGGG
rnacentral:rRNA from 1 species